AGAGUUUGAUCCUGGCUCAGAUUGAACGCUGGCGGCAUGCCUUACACAUGCAAGUCGAACGGGCUUUGAGGCUUGCUCCAAAGUUAGUGGCGAACGGGUGAGUAAUAUAUCGGAACGUACCCUUGAGUGGGGGAUAACAUAGCGAAAGUUAUGCUAAUACCGCAUACGAUCUAAGGAUGAAAGUGGGGGACCGCAAGGCC
rnacentral:rRNA from 1 species